GCCUGUGCUGUGACUUUCUUUUCUUUAG
rnacentral:piRNA from 1 species